GUAAACUCAAGGGAGAGUGUGAUAAAGUUGAAUUGAAUUGUCAGUGUUUGAAGGUCAUGAUGUUUCUGCGAAAAACCAAACUAUGUGCUGAUGGCAGCAGAGACAUUGGGGAUUGAAGGUAAAGAAUGAAAUGGCCCGAAGUUAAUGCCAUUCAGCAGAAAAAAAAAGGGAAAAAGAAUGGAUAAUGCAAUAAUACCAAAAAAGAAAAGAGGAUCAAGGAGAAAUGAACAAGGGGAAAUAAGUUGGGUGUUUUGCUUUUCAUUACUAAGUUAAAAAGGUUGUGGCAGCUGUCAUCUUCUUAUUCUUUCCACCCUAUUUCUUCCACACAAAAUAUGCUUGGUGGGUAAGAGAAAAUGCUAUGAAGGUUUAAGGAUGGAAAAGGGUGUGCAUGACCAAAGGCAG